rnacentral:misc_RNA from 1 species
AACGCACCUUGCGCCUCUUGGUAUUCCGAAAGGCAUGCCUGUUUGAGUGUCAUUAAAUUCUCAAUCCCUUUUUGGCUGUGUUAGCUUCUAAGGUGAUUGGAUGUGGGGGGAUUUUUGCUGGCCUUUGUUGGUCAAGCUCCUCUUAAAUGUAUUAGCAGGAAUCCUUUUUUUGCAGGACCGUCUCUGGUGUGAUAAAUUAUCUAUGCCAUGGUCUUGAAGCAAAAAACGCAGCUUGUACUUACUUGGUAGGGAAGCUGGGGGGGUUCAAGCUUUCUAACCGUCCAAGCAGGUAGUUGGACCCAAUUGACAUAUUUGACCUCAAAUCAGGUAGGACUACCCGCUGAACUUAA